rnacentral:rRNA from 1 species
AGGGAGCCUGAGAAACGGCUACCACAUCCAAGGAAGGCAGCAGGCGCGCAAAUUACCCACUCCCGGCACGGGGAGGUAGUGACGAAAAAUAACGAUACGGGACUCAUCCGAGGCCCCGUAAUCGGAAUGAGUACACUUUAAAUCCUUUAACGAGUAUCCAUUGGAGGGCAAGUCUGGUGCCAGCAGCCGCGGUAAUUCAAGCUCCAAUAGCGUAUAUUAAAGUUGUUGCGGUUAAAAAGCUCGUAGUUGAAUCUGUGUGCCACGCUGUCGGUUCAUCGCUCGCGAUGUUUAACUGACAUGACUGUGGGACGUCCUACCGGUGGAUUUAGCCUCCUUCGGGGGGGCGGUCCAGCUAAUAUCCCAUCGCGGUGCUCUUGAUCGAGUGUCGAGGUGGGCCGGUACGUUUACUUUGAACAAAUUAGAGUGCUCAAAGCAGGCUAUGUUCGCCUGAAUACUGCGUGCAUGGAAUAAUGGAAUAGGACCUCGGUUCUAUUUUGUUGGUUUUCGGAACCCCGAGGUAAUGAUUAAUAGGGACAGAUGGGGGCAUUCGUAUUGCGACGUUAGAGGUGAAAUUCUUGGAUCGUCGCAAGAC